rnacentral:lncRNA from 1 species
UUAAAAGAAUCUGGAAGAAUAAAUGGGUCCUAAGUAAAUGAGUCUUCACUCUCAGUCAAAAUCUCCAACAGGAACUCCUGCUUGUGUAAAAUUGGAGAGAUGGUCAGGAUCUCGUAGUCCUUCAAGGGUUUUCAAACACUCUGAAUCCCAUUCUCGAUCAAGAUCAAAAUGUCAAGGAGGCAUUCUCAUCGACGUUACACACUUGAUCCAGAUCCCACUCUUGAUCCAGAUACCACUCUCACAGGAGACGAAGUAGCUCAUAUACACCAGAAUACUGGCAGUGAAGGAGCCGAAGUCAUUCUCCAAUGUCUAACCAGAGAAGACACACUGGCAGAAGGGCAAAUCCAGAUCCCAACACUUGCCUUAGAGUGUUUGGCCUUAGUUUGUACACAACAGACAGAGAUCUUCGUGAAGUAUGUUCUUGAUAUGGACCUUUGAAUGGUGCCAAUGUGGUUUACAACCAGCAAACUGGGCGAUCUCAAGGAUUUGCUUUUGUGCAUUUUUAGGGAAUAGAUGACUCAAAGGAGGCUAUGGUAAGGGCAAACAGAAAGGAGCUGGAUGAUAGAAGAAAUUCGGGUGGAUUAUUCUAUUACCAAGACAAUGCGCACACCUAUACCAGGCAUCUAUAUGGGCAGAACUCAUAGUGGUGGUGGCGGAGGUGGUGGCAAAGGCGGCAGUGGAGGUGGUCACAGACGUCGAGAUUCUUACUAUGAUAGAGGAUAUCAUCGUGGAUAUGACAGAUAUGAAGACUAUGAUUACCGGUACAGAAGAUGAUCACCUUCUCCUUAUUAUAGUCGAUACAGAUCACAAUCAAGAUCUCAUUCCUGCAGCCCAAGACACU